GACGAACGCUGGCGGCGUGCUUAACACAUGCAAGUCGAGCGGUAAGGCCCUUUCGGGGGUACACGAGCGGCGAACGGGUGAGUAACACGUGGGUGACCUGCCCUCAGCUCUGGGAUAAGCCUGGGAAACCGGGUCUAAUACCGGAUAUGACUCCAUGACGCAUGUUGUGGGGUGGAAAGCCUUGUGCGGCUGAGGAUGGGCCCGCGGCCUAUCAGCUUGUUGGUGGGGUGAUGGCCUACCAAGGCGACGACGGGUAGCCGGCCUGAGAGGGCGACCGGCCACACUGGGACUGAGACACGGCCCAGACUCUUACGGGAGGCAGCAGUGGGGAAUCUUGCGCAAUGGGCGAAAGCCUGACGCAGCGACGCCGCGUGAGGGAUGACGGCCUCGG
rnacentral:rRNA from 1 species